rnacentral:lncRNA from 1 species
UUUAUUACUUUUCCGAAUAUCGUGUUCCAUAAAUAGACGAGAAGGAUGAGAGUUCUUGGCGUAUAGUUUUGAAUUUGGAAAUGAAAGUUUCGCCAAUCAUAGCAACCCUUUUAAGUAAAGAAAAACAAUAACAGACAUUACCCUUUCUCCUCUUCUCCCAACCUCACCUGUCUGUGAGUAGCGCUGGUUGUUGUUGGGAGAAGGAAUCGACCAAUAGUGUUGUUGGUAAUAGCCAUAGAAAUUAUCUUGCUGUUAUUUAUUCCCACUUAUUUGAAUUUCACAUCGUUAUCACUCCAUAAUAGAAAGAUGGUGUUCAUCUCUACUUCCGGUAGAGUUACGCCUGGUUGAAGUGGCAGAUUUAUGAAGUUUAAAAAACUGAUUCGUGCUAAUAUUUAUUCAAAAGUAGAUCUGUUAACGCGUGUUUAACGGAUAAUAAAUACUUUUUUUCAAAUUAAUGUAUUAUAAUUAAAUAUAUCUACCAUAAUGAUAAUGCUUUGUUUUUUUUCAUGUAUAAGGACCAAAUGAAGAAAAUACACAUUCAUUAGACCAAGCAUUUUUGAAGCUAUAGUUCUUUAUAUCAACUCUACUCUAGUAUUUUAGUAUGUCCUUUCAGUUGUUAUUGUUGGCAAAGCUUGGAAGCAAUAUAGAUCUCGCAUUUCUGUUUUGAUAGGAACUUACUAUUAUUCGUUUUUGCUUCUUAAUUCUGGGAAGUUUGCUAAUGUAGCUGUGAAUUGGGGAUCCAACUCAUCUGUGCUAAUUCUUCUAAACUGAAUAUUAGUCCCUUUUGAUACUUAUUGAUUGCUAAAGUAGGUAAGUUUUGGGAAGUAUCUUAAAGAAUCUGAAAAGAACAUCAGGUAUGUAUUAUAUCAUUGUUAUACAAAAUUAAUGUCAAACUAUUGUACAAUAUUUGUAGAACAUCACCUUUAAGUCACUUGUAUCUAUUUGAUUGAUGAAUAAAAUAGUGUGUUUUUA